rnacentral:ncRNA from 1 species
UGGAGUUGCCGUGACAACCAGGAGGUUGGCUUAGAAGCAGCCACCCUUUAAAGAGUGCGUAAUAGCUCACUGGUCAAGUGAUUCCGCGCCGACAAUGUAGCGGGGCUCAAGCACACCACCGAAGCUGUGGCAUUGACACACUGCUCGGCACCCUUGUGGUGUCCAGGCGUGUUGAUGGGUAGGGGAGCGUCGUGUGGCGAGUGAAGCGGCGGAGUGAUCCAGUCGUGGAUGCCACACGAGUGAGAAUGCAGGCAUGAGUAGCGAAAGACGGGUGAGAAACCCGUCCGCCGAAUAACCAAGGGUUCCAGGGUCAAGCUAAUCUGCCCUGGGUAAGUCGGGACCUAAGGCGAGGCCGACAGGCGUAGUCGAUGGACAUCCGGUUGAUAUUCCGGAACCGGCGAAGAACCGCCCAUGAUGAAUCCAGUGAUGCUAAACGCCUGAAGCUCACCCUUAGAGGUCUUCGGAUCUCGUUGGUGGGUGGAACGCGUGACCCGAUCUGGUAGUAGUCAA